rnacentral:rRNA from 1 species
GUGUCAGCCGCCGCGGUAAUACGGGGGGUGCAAGCGUUAUUCGGAAUCAUUGGGCGUAAAGGGCGCGUAGGCGGCCCCUUAAGUCAGAUGUGAAAGCCCUCAGCUUAACUGAGGAAGUGCAUUUGAAACUAAGGGGCUUGAGUAUGGGAGAGGGAAGCGGAAUUCCUGGUGUAGCGGUGAAAUGCGUAGAUAUCAGGAGGAACACCGGUGGCGAAGGCGGCUUCCUGGACCAAUACUGACGCUGAGGCGCGAAGGCGUGGGGAGCAAACAGGAUUAGAUACCCCUGUAGUCC